rnacentral:tRNA from 1 species
UGGGGUGUCGUCUAGUGGUAGGACGCAGGAUUCUGGUUCCUGUUGCCGGGGUUCGAAUCCCUGCACCCCAGCCA